GACGAACGCUGGCGGCAUGCCUAAUACAUGCAAGUCGAGCGAAUGAUGAAGAAGCUUGCUUCUUCUGAUUUAGCGGCGGACGGGUGAGUAACACGUGGGCAACCUGCCCUGUAGAUUGGGAUAACUCCGGGAAACCGGGGCUAAUACCGAAUAAUCCAUUUCCUCACAUGUGGAAAUGUUAAAAGACGGUUUCGGCUGUCACUACAGGAUGGGGCCCGCGGCGCAUAGCUAGUUGGUAGGGGUAACGGCCUACCAAGGCGACGAUGCGUAGCCGACCUGAGAGGGUGAUCGGCCACACUGGGACUGAGACACGGCCCAGACUCCUACGGGAGGCAGCAGUAGGGAAUCUUCCACAAUGG
rnacentral:rRNA from 1 species